rnacentral:rRNA from 1 species
AGAGUUUGAUCCUGGCUCAGGAUGAACGCUGGCGGCGUGCCUAAUACAUGCAAGUCGAGCGAACGGACGAGAAGCUUGCUUCUCUGAUGUUAGCGGCGGACGGGUGAGUAACACGUGGAUAACCUACCUAUAAGACUGGGAUAACUUCGGGAAACCGGAGCUAAUACCGGAUGAUAUUUUGAACCGCAUGGUUCAAAAGUGAAAGACGGUCUUGCUGUCACUUAUAGAUGGAUCCGCGCUGCAUUAGCUAGUUGGUAAGGUAACGGCUUACCAAGGCAACGAUGCAUAGCCGACCUGAGAGGGUGAUCGGCCACACUGGAACUGAGACACGGUCCAGACUCCUACGGGAGGCAGCAGUAGGGAAUCUUCCGCAAUGGGCGAAAGCCUGACGGAGCAACGCCGCGUGAGUGAUGAAGGUCUUCGGAUCGUAAAACUCUGUUAUUAGGGAAGAACAUAUGUGUAAGUAACUGUGCACAUCUUGACGGUACCUAAUCAGAAAGCCACGGCUAACUACGUGCCAGCAGCCGCGGUAAUACGUAGGUGGCAAGCGUUAUCCGGAAUUAUUGGGCGUAAAGCGCGCGUAGGCGGUUUUUUAAGUCUGAUGUGAAAGCCCACGGCUCAACCGUGGAGGGUCAUUGGAAACUGGAAAACUUGAGUGCAGAAGAGGAAAGUGGAAUUCCAUGUGUAGCGGUGAAAUGCGCAGAGAUAUGGAGGAACACCAGUGGCGAAGGCGACUUUCUGGUCUGUAACUGACGCUGAUGUGCGAAAGCGUGGGGAUCAAACAGGAUUAGAUACCCUGGUAGUCCACGCCGUAAACGAUGAGUGCUAAGUGUUAGGGGGUUUCCGCCCCUUAGUGCUGCAGCUAACGCAUUAAGCACUCCGCCUGGGGAGUACGACCGCAAGGUUGAAACUCAAAGGAAUUGACGGGGACCCGCACAAGCGGUGGAGCAUGUGGUUUAAUUCGAAGCAACGCGAAGAACCUUACCAAAUCUUGACAUCCUUUGACAACUCUAGAGAUAGAGCCUUCCCCUUCGGGGGACAAAGUGACAGGUGGUGCA